CUCGUAGGUGGCCAACUAAGUCAGACGUGAAAUCCCUCGGCUUAACCGGGGAACUGCGUCUGAUACUGGAUGGCUUGAGUUCGGGAGAGGGAUGCGGAAUUCCAGGUGUAGCGGUGAAAUGCGUAGAUAUCGGGAGGAACACCAGUGGCGAAGGCGAUCUUCUGGUCUGUUUCUGACACUCAGACGCGACAGCUAGGGUAUAAACG
rnacentral:rRNA from 1 species